UCUCAUCAAGUGUUAAAGAGUUCUCAUCAUUCAAUAAUAAAAAAUAAAAAAAAAAAACAAUAAAAAAUUCUCUUAACACAAAAACUCAAAAAAAAAUCUUUCUUUCAAUAAAAUGGCAAGCAAGAUUGUUAUUGUUGCCCUCCUUUUGGUCGCCAUUGUUGGUGUUGUUUCAGCUGGUCCCGCUGCUGAAGGUGCUGCCAAAACCGGUGCUGCCAAAACCGAUGCUGCAACAACCCCUGCUGCCGCCGCACCCGGUGAUGAUGCUGCAGGUGCACCAGGAGACGCUGAAGGACCAUCCGGUGGUGCAUCAUCAACUGAGCAAGGCCCUUCUGCUGAAUCACCAACUGCAGCUGCAAGCGGUGCUACUGUUUUUGAAAUCUCAACUAUUGGCAUUGCAGUUUCUGCAGCGGUCACCGGUUAUUUUAUUUAAAUUUUUUUUAAUUUUCUUUAUUUAAAUCUAUAAUUUAAAAAAAAAAAAUUGAGCAAACGUUUCACUUUUGUUUUCUCAAUAUUUAUUUCAAAAGAAAAUUUUAAUUUCCUUCAAUAUCUCAAACAAGCUAUGUCUUCUUGUAAUAUCAAUUAGCUAGGGAAAUACAUUCCAAUAUAAGUUGCAGUCACGAAUAUUAGAAUAAAAUUUUUUUUAUUGAAUGCAAGUCUCCUUCAUUUCAUACUCAUUGAUCGCAGAGUAUUUAUCAUAAAAAUAAAAAUAAAAAAAAAAACAUGGUAAAGAGCAAAAUAUUUCUUGUUGUGUAAUCAAUUUGAGAAAAUUCUAGCCAAUGCUAGGCUUUACUUGACCA
rnacentral:lncRNA from 1 species